rnacentral:rRNA from 1 species
UACGUAGGGGGCAAGCGUUGUCCGGAAUCACUGGGCGUAAAGCGCGCGCAGGCGGUCAUCUACGUCUGGGGUGAAAGCCCGGAGCUCAACUCCGGGAUUGCCUUGGAUACGGGAUGACUUGAGGAUCGGAGAGGCAAGGGGAAUUCCACGUGUAGCGGUGAAAUGCGUAGAGAUGUGGAGGAACACCUGUGGCGAAAGGCGCCUUGCUUGGCCCGAUUUUCUGACGCUGAGGCGCGAAAAGCGUGGGGGAGCAAACAGG